ACGGAGGAUCCGAGCGUUAUCCGGAUUUAUUGGGUUUAAAGGGAGCGUAGAUGGAUGUUUAAGUCAGUUGUGAAAGUUUACGGCUCAACCGUAAAAUUGCAGUUGAUACUGGAUAUCUUGAGUGCAGUUGAGGCAGGCGGAAUUCGUGGUGUAGCGGUGAAAUGCUUAGAUAUAACGAAGAACUCCGAUUGCGAAGGCAGCUUACUAAGCUUGAACUGACGCUGAGGCUCGAAAGUGUGGGUAUCAAACAG
rnacentral:rRNA from 1 species